GUGUCAGCAGCCGCGGUAAUACGUAGGGGGCAAGCGUUGUCCGGAUUUAUUGGGCGUAAAGAGCGUGUAGGCGGCCAGGUAGGUCUGCUGUGAAAACUCGAGGCUUAACCUCGAGCUGUCGGCGGAAACCAUCUGGCUAGAGUCCGGAAGAGGAGAAUGGAAUUCCCGGUGUAGCGGUGAAAUGCGCAGAUAUCGGGAAGAACACCCGUGGCGAAGGCGGUUCUCUGGGACGGUACUGACGCUGAGACGCGAAAGCGUGGGGAGCGAACAGGAUUAGAAACCCGUGUAGUCC
rnacentral:rRNA from 1 species